rnacentral:rRNA from 1 species
CACGUAGGGCGCAAGCGUUGUCCGGAAUUAUUGGGCGUAAAGAGCUCGUAGGCGGUCUGUUGCGUCUGCUGUGAAAACCCGGGGCUUAACCCCUGGCUUGCAGUGGAUACGGACAGACUAGAGGUAGGUAGGGGAGAAUGGAAUUCCUGGUGUAGCGGUGAAAUGCGUAGAUAUCAGGAGGAACACCGGUGGCGAAGGCGGCCCUCUGGACGGUGACUGACGCUGAGACGCGAAAGCGUGGGGAGCAAACAGG